rnacentral:lncRNA from 1 species
AUGGAAAAGAAAUGCAAAAAAGCAAAAUGGCUGCCUGGGGAGGCCUUACAAAUAGCUGCGAAAAGAAGAGAGGCAAAAAGCAAAGGAGAAAAGGAAAGAUAUAAGCAUCUGAAUGCAGAGUUCCAAAGAAAAGCAAGGAGAGAUAAUAAAGCCUUCUUCAGUGAUCAAUGCAAAGAAAUAGAGGAAAAGAACAGAAUGGGAAAGACUAGAGAUCUCUUCAAGAAAAUUAGAGAUACCAAGGGAACAUUUCAUGCAAAGAUGGGCUCAAUAAAGGACAGAAAUGGUCUGGACCUAACAGAAGCGGAAGAUAUUAAGAAGAGGUGGCAAGAAUACACGGAAGAACUGUACAAAAAAGAUCUUCACGACCCAGAUAAUCAUGAUGAUGUGAUCACUAAUCUAGAGCCAGACAUCUUGGAAUGUGAAGUCAAGUGGGCCUUAGAGAGCAUCACUACAAACAAAGCUAGUGGAGGUGAUGGAAUUCCAGUUGAACUGUUUCAAAUCCUGAAAGAUGAUGCUGUGAAAGUGCUGCACUCAAUAUGCCAGCAAGUUUGGAAAACUCAGCAGUGGCCACAGGACUGGAAAAGGUCAGUUUUCAUUCCAAUCCCAAAGAAAGGCAAUGCCAAAGAAUGCUCAAACUACCGCACAAUUGCACUCAUCUCACAUGCUAGUAAAGUAAUGCUCAAAAUUCUCCAAGCCAGGCUUCAGCAAUACGUGAACCGUGAACUGCCUGAUGUUCAAGCUGGUUUUAGAAAAGGCAGAGGAACCAAAGAUCAAAUUGCCAACAUCUGCUGGAUCAUGGAAAACGCAAGAGAGUUCCAGAAAAACAUCUAUUUCUGCUUUAUUGACUAUGCCAAAGCCUUUGACUGUGUGGAUCACAAUCAACUGUGGAAAAUUCUGAAAGAGAUGGGAAUACCAGACCACCUAACCUGCCUCUUGAGAAAUUUGUAUGCAGGUCAGGAAGCAACAGUUAGAACUGGACAUGGAACAACAGACUGGUUCCAAAUAGGAAAAGGAGUACGUCAAGGCUGUAUAUUGUCACCCUGCUUAUUUAACUUCUAUGCAGAGUACAUCAUGAGAAACGCUGGGCUGGAAAAAGCACAAGCUGGAAUCAAGAUUGCCAGGAGAAAUAUCAAUAACCUCAGAUAUGCAGAUGACACCACCCUUAUGGCAGAAAGUGAAGAGGAGCUAAAAAGCCUCUUGAUGAAAGUGAAAGAGGAGAGCGAAAAAGUUGGCUUAAAGCUCAACAUUCAGAAAAUGAAGAUCAUGGCAUCCGGUCCCAUCACUUCAUGGGAAAUAGAUGGGGAAACAGUAGAAACAGUGUCAGACUUUAUUUUGGGGGGCUCCGAAAUCACUGCAGAUGGUGACUGCAGCCAUGAAAUUAAAAGACGCUUACUCCUUGGAAGAAAAGUUAUGACCAACCUAGAUAGUAUAUUCAAAAGCAGAGACAUUACUUUGCCGACUAAGGUCCAUCUAGUCAAGGCUAUGGGUUUUCCUGUGGUCAUGUAUGGAUGUGAGAGUUGGACUGUGAAGAAGGCUGAGCGCCGAAGAAUUGAUGCUUUUGAACUGUAG